AGAGUUUGAUCCUGGCUCAGAACGAACGCUGGCGGCGUGGUUCAGGCAUGCAAGUCGAACGAUCUCGCAAGAGAGAGUGGCAGAAGGGUUAGUAACACGUGGGUAAUCUACCCUCGGGGCGGGGAUAACAUCUCGAAAGAGAUGCUAAUACCCGAUGACAUUUCCGGAUCGCAUGGUUUGGAAAUCAAAGGUGGCUCGCAAGGGCUGCCGCCUGUGGAGGAGCCCGCGGCCUAUCAGCUAGUUGGUGAGGUAACGGCCCACCAAGGCUUUUGACGGGUAGCUGGUCUAAGAGGACGAUCAGCAACAUUGGGACUGAGACACUGCCCAGACUCCUACGGGAGGCUGCAGUCGAGGAUCUUUAGCAAUGCCCGAAAGGGUGACUAUGCGACGCCGCGUGCAGGAUGAAGGCCUUCGGGUUGUAAACUGCUGUCAGGGGGGAAGAAACCUUACGUGUGAAUAGCGCGUAAGCUGACAUCACCCCCAAAGAGCC
rnacentral:rRNA from 1 species